CUUGUCGUCGUUUGGUUCUGUUAUUUCUCUCUCUCGAAACCUUUCUCUCUCGAUCAAAGUCGCAAACUUUGCUUCGAAUUCAAUCCAUCUCUCACCUUCCCUUGCAAUCAAAUCUCCAAAUAAAUUAAUCUCUCUGCGCGAUUCUCGCUCUUCUUCUCCGACAGAGAAAGGUCUCGAGCUUCGUCUUAGGUUGAGCCUAGGUCGAAAAGGGUAUCGAGAUUGUAGAGGUUUCUCACGCUGAUGAUUAUUCUUCUUGUUCGUCGUCAUCACCUUCUGAUUUUGUGGCUUUUGUGUGAUCUAGAAUAUCUAUCGUGGCUUCAUCUCUCCUAUUUUUAAGCAAGAAAAGAAAAAGCAGAUAGUGGGUGGAGACAUGAUGGAGCAGUUUGUUCUCUAUCACUUGCAAACACUUUUCGGCAGCAAAAUCUUUGACUAUAUGAUCAUUGUCUUUACCGGUGGAGAUGAUUUGGAAGACAAUGAUGAGACUUUGGAGAACUACUUGGAUGCUUGUUGGUGAUGUUCCGUGGAGGAUGUUUAUUGGUUCUGUGAAAAGGCAUUGGAGUCACUUGCACUCUUGUGUAGAAGUUAAAGAGUGGAGCAUUGGAGUCACUUGUCUUUCUUGUACUCCCUUGUAUUCUCAUAUUAUCAUGUCACGGACUGGAGCUGAUCUUGCGCUUCCGCCUAGAAUCG